rnacentral:rRNA from 1 species
AGGACGAACGCUGGCGGCGUGCCUAAUACAUGCAAGUCGAACGCAUUUUCUUUCACCGUAGCUUGCUACACCGAAAGAAAAUGAGUAGCGAACGGGUGAGUAACACGUGGGUAACCUGCCCAUCAGCGGGGGAUAACACUUGGAAACAGGUGCUAAUACCGCAUAAUUCCAUUUACCGCAUGGUAGAUAGAUGAAAGGCGCUUUUGCGUCACUGAUGGAUGGACCCGCGGUGCAUUAGCUAGUUGGUGGGUAACGCCUACCAAGGCUGCGAUGCAUA